rnacentral:rRNA from 1 species
GUGAGGAAGGUGGUGUCGUUAAUAGCGGCAUCAUUUGACGUUAGCAACAGAAGAAGCACCGGCUAACUCCGUGCCAGCAGCCGCGGUAAUACGGAGGGUGCGAGCGUUAAUCGGAAUUACUGGGCGUAAAGCGCAUGCAGGUGGUUUGUUAAGUCAGAUGUGAAAGCCCGGGGCUCAACCUCGGAACUGCAUUUGAAACUGGCAGACUAGAGUACUGUAGAGGGGGGUAGAAUUUCAGGUGUAGCGGUGAAAUGCGUAGAGAUCUGAAGGAAUACCGGUGGCGAAGGCGGCCCCCUGGACAGAUACUGACACUCAGAUGCGAAAGCGUGGGGAGCAAACAGGAUUAGAUACCCUGGUAGUCCACGCUGUAAACGAUGUCUACUUGGAGGUUGUGGCCUUGAGCCGUGGCUUUCGGAGCUAACGCGUUAAGUAGACCGCCUGGGGAGUACGGUCGCAAGAUUAAAACUCAAAUGAAUUGACGGGGGCCCGCACAAGCGGUGGAGCAUGUGGUUUAAUUCGAUGCAACGCGAAGAACCUUAC